rnacentral:rRNA from 1 species
GACGAACGCUGGCGGCGUGCUUAACACAUGCAAGUCGAACGGAAAGGCCCUGCUUUUGUGGGGUGCUCGAGUGGCGAACGGGUGAGUAACACGUGUGUAACCUGCCCUUGACUUUGGGAUAACUUCAGGAAACAGGGGCUAAUAUCGGAUAGGAGCUCCUGCUGCAUGGUGGGGGUUGGUAAGUUUCGGCGGGUGGGGAUGUACUAGAGGCUUAUCAGCUUGUUGGGGGGGUAGGGGAUUACCAAGGUUUUGACGGGUAGCCGGCCUGGGAGGGUGACCAGACACAAUAGGACUGAGAGACGACGCAGACUGCUACGGGAGGCAGCAGGGGGGAAUAUUGCACAAUGGGCGGGAGCGUGAGACGGCGGCGUCGCGUGCGGGAAAACGGCCUUCGGGUGGUGAACCGCUGUCUCCUGUGAUGAACAGUGAUUGACGGUAAUGAGUAAGGAAGCACCGGCUAACUACGUG